rnacentral:rRNA from 1 species
AGUUACUAGUAAUCGCAGAUCAGAAUGCUGCGGUGAAUGCGUUCCCGGGUCUUGUACACACCGCCCGUCACACCACGGAAGUUGGGGGCGCCCGAAGCCACUUAGCUAACCCUUUUGGGAAGCGAGUGUCGAAGGUGAAAUCAAUAACUGGGGUGAAGUCGUAACAAGGUACC